rnacentral:rRNA from 1 species
AUUGAACGCUGGCGGCAGGCCUAACACAUGCAAGUCGAACGGUAGCACAGAGAGCUUGCUCUCGGGUGACGAGUGGCGGACGGGUGAGUAACGUCUGGGAAACUGCCCGAUGGAGGGGGAUAACUACUGGAAACGGUAGCUAAUACCGCAUAACGUCGCAAGACCAAAGUGGGGGACCUUCGGGCCUCACACCACCGGAUGUGCCCAGAUGGGAUUAGCUAGUAGGUGGGGUAAUGGCUCACCUAGGCGACGAUCCCUAGCUGGUCUGAGAGGAUGACCAGCCACACUGGAACUGAGACACGGUCCAGACUCCUACGGGAGGCAGCAGUGGGGAAUAUUGCACAAUGGGCGCAAGCCUGAUGCAGCUAUGCCGCGUGUAUGAAGAAGGCCUUCGGGUUGUAAAGUACUUUCAGCGGGGAGGAAGGCGGUGAAGUUAAUAGCUUCACCGAUUGACGUUACCCGCAGAAGAAGCACCGGCUAACUCCGUGCCAGCCGCCGCAGUAA